rnacentral:rRNA from 1 species
GUAGUCAUAUGCUUGUCUCAAAGAUUAAGCCAUGCAUGUCUAAGUAUAAGCAAUUACAAAGCGAAACUGCGAAUGGCUCNUUAUAUAAGUUAUCGUUUAUUUGAUAGUACCUUACUACAUGGAUAACCGUGGUAAUUCUAGAGCUAAUACAUGCUGAAAAUCCCGACUUCGGAAGGGAUGUAUUUAUUAGAUACAAAACCAAUGCCCUUCGGGGCUCUCUUGGUGAUUCAUGAUAACUUCUCGAAUCGCACGGCCCCGCGCCGGCGAUGGUUCAUUCAAAUUUCUUCCCUAUCAACUUUCGAUGCUACGGUAUUGUCCUAGCAUGGUUGCAACGGGUGACGGAGGGUUAGGGCUCGACCCCGGAGAAGGAGCCUGAGAAACGGCUACUACAUCCAAGGAAGGCAGCAGGCGCGCAAAUUACCCAAUCCCGACUCGGGGAGGUAGUGACGAUAAAUACCGAUACAGGGCUCUUUUGAGUCCUGUAAUUGGAAUGAGUACAAUUCAAAUCCCUUAACGAGGAACAAUUGGAGGGCAAGUCUGGUGCCAGCAGCCGCGGUAAUUCCAGCUCCAAUAGCGUAUAUUAAAGUUGUUGUGGUUAAAAAGCUCGUAGUAGAAGCUCGGCCUCCGGUCGGCCGGUCCGCCUCACCGCGUGCACUGGUUCGGCCGGGGCUUCACCUUCUGCGGAACCGCAUCUCCUUCACUGGGGGUGUCGGGGAAACAGGACGUUUACUUCUUGGAUCGAUUGAAGACUAACUACUGCGAAAGCAUCUGCCAAGGAUGUUUUCAUUUAUCAGGAACGAAAGUUAGGGGAUCGAAGACGAUCAGAUACCGUCGUAGUCUUAACCAUAAACUAUGCCGACUAGGGAUCGGACGGUGUUAUUUCUUGACCCGUUCGGCACCUUACGAGAAAUCAAAGUGCUUGGGCUCCAGGGGGAGUAUGGUCGCAAGGCUGAAACUUAAAAAAAUUGACGGAAGGGCACCACCAGGGGUGGACUGCGGCUUAAUUUGACUCAACACGGGGAAACUCACCAGGUCCAGACACAACGAGGAUUGACAGAUUGAGAGCUCUUUCUUGAUUUUGUGGGUGGUGGUGCAUGGCCGUUCUUAGUUGGUGGAGUGAUUUGUCUGCUUAAUUGCGAUAACGAACGAGACCUUAACCUGCUAAAUAGUCCGUAUUACCUCGGUAGUACGCCGACUUCUUAGAGGGACUAUCGGCUCAAGCCGAUGGAAGUUUGAGGCAAUAACAGGUCUGUGAUGCCCUUAGAUGUUCUGGGCCGCACGCGCGUUACACUGACGGGGCCAGCGAGUACUGCCUUGGCCGAAAGGUCCGGGUAAUCUUGUGAAACCCCGUCGUGCUGGGGAUAGAGCAUUGCAAUUAUUGCUCUUCAACGAGGAAUCCCUAGUAAGCGCAAGUCAUCAGCUUGCGUUGAUUACGUCCCUGCCCUUUGUACACACCGCCCGUCGCUACUACCGAUUGAA